CACACACCAGUCUCUACCUACAGAGAACAAACUACCAUGGACCAGGGGAAUCACACACCAGUCUCUACCUACAGAGAACAGUCUGAAUGACUCAAACUACCAGAACAACUAAAUGAAACUUGAGCGUUACACCUGUGGAAUGGUAUCAGGAAGGCUACCGUGUAUAACUAACUAUACAAUACUGCACAGCUUUUCAACAGUGAUGUGUUCUUUUUUAGCAACACAAUAGGGAUCUUUAAGGGACACAAUAAGAUGACCGUAUAUCACGGUCUCGUUCAUUGACCGCUGGUCUAGAAAUCAACAGUUCUGGAGAAAACAGGUAUUUACUAUGAGGGGCGUCAGGUAGCCUAGUGGUUUAGAGGGGCGUCAGGUAGCCUAGUGGUUAAGAGGGGCGUCAGGUAGCCUAGUGGUUUAGAGGGGCGUCAGGUAGCCUAGUGGUUAAGAGGGGCGUCAGGUAGCCUAGUGGUUAAGAGGGGCGUCAGGUAGCCUAGUGGUUUAGAGGGGCG
ensembl:lncRNA